rnacentral:rRNA from 1 species
GAUGAACGCUGGCGGUAGGCUUAACACAUGCAAGUCGAGGGGCAGCAUGGUCUUUUCUUGUUCAGACUCAUUGCGAACGGCGCACGGGUGCGUAACGCGUAUGCAACUAGCCUCACAGAGGGGCAUAACACGUCGAAAGACGGACUAAUACCGCGUACACUCUACCUUGGGCAUCUAAGGUAGAGGAAUUGAAAUUCGCUGUGAGAUAGGCAUGCGUCCCAUUUGCUAGUGGGUGAGGUAACGGCUCACCAAGCCGACGAUGGGUAAGGGAACUGAGAGGAUGAGGCCCGAGACGGGGACUGAGACACGGGCCAGUCAGCUACGGGAGGCAGCAGUGAGGAAUAUAGGAGAAGGGGAGAGUGCCUGAACCAGCCAAGUCGCGUGAAGGAUGACUGUCUUAGGGAUGGUAGACUUCUUGUAGAAGGGAACAACAAGAGUCACAUGUGACUCCCUGCAUGUACCGGAAGAAGAAGCAUCGGCUAACUCCGUG